GUGCUCACUGUGGCAGCACAUAUAUGAAAAUUGGAACGCUACAGAGAUUAGUAUGGCCCCUGCGCAAGGAUCACGUGCAAAUGCAUGAAGUGUACUUUUUCUUU
ensembl:snRNA U6 U6 spliceosomal RNA